CCCUUAGAUGUUCGGGGCCGCACGCGCGCUACACUGAAGGAAUCAGCACGUCUUUCUCCUUGUCCGAAAGGACUGGGUAACCCGCUGAACCUCCUUCGUGCUAGGGAUUGGGGCUUGUAAUUCUUCCCCAUGAACGAGGAAUUCCCAGUAAGCGCGAGUCAUAAGCUCGCGUUGAUUACGUCCCUGCCCUUUGUACACACCGCCCGUCGCUACUACCGAUUGGAUGGUUUAGUGAGAUCCUCUGAUUGGUCCCGGCGCGGCCUCUGGUCGUGCCGGAGUGCCGAAAAGAAUGUCGAACUUGAUCAUCUAGAGGAAGUAAAAGUCGUAACA
rnacentral:rRNA from 1 species